rnacentral:ribozyme from 1 species
GGGCUCAAGGCGUCGUGCGCAUUUGACCC